UGCAAGUCGAGCGGGCAGAUGGGAGCUUGCUCCCCUGAUGUUAGCGGCGGACGGGUGAGUAACACGUGGGUAACCUGCCUGUAAGACUGGGAUAACUCCGGGAAACCGGGGCUAAUACCGGAUGGUUGUUUGAACCGCAUGGUUCAGACAUAAAAGGUGGCUUCGGCUACCACUUACAGAUGGACCCGCGGCGCAUUAGCUAGUUGGUGAGGUAACGGCUCACCAAGGCAACGAUGCGUAGCCGACCUGAGAGGGUGAUCGGCCACACUGGGACUGAGACACGGCCCAGACUCCUACGGGAGGCAGCAGUAGGGAAUCUUCCGCAAUGGACGAAAGUCUGACGGAGCAACGCCGCGUGAGUGAUGAAGGUUUUCGGAUCGUAAAGCUCUGUUGUUAGGGAAGAACAAGUGCCGUUCAAAUAGGGCGGCACCUUGACGGUACCUAACCAGAAAGCCACGGCUAACUACGUGCCAGCAGCCGCGGUAAUACGUAGGUGGCAAGCGUUGUCCGGAAUUAUUGGGCGUAAAGGGCUCGCAGGCGGUUUCUUAAGUCUGAUGUGAAAGCCCCCGGCUCAACCGGGGAGGGUCAUUGGAAACUGGGGAACUUGAGUGCAGAAGAGGAGAGUGGAAUUCCACGUGUAGCGGUGAAAUGCGUAGAGAUGUGGAGGAACACCAGUGGCGAAGGCGACUCUCUGGUCUGUAACUGACGCUGAGGAGCGAAAGCGUGGGGAGCGAACAGGAUUAGAUACCCUGGUAGUCCACGCCGUAAACGAUGAGUGCUAAGUGUUAGGGGGGUUUCCGCCCCUUAGUGCUGCAGCUAACGCAUUAAGCACUCCGCCUGGGGAGUACGGUCGCAA
rnacentral:rRNA from 1 species